GACGAACGCUGGCGGCGUGCUUAACACAUGCAAGUCGAACGGAAAGGCCCUGCUUUUGUGGGGUGCUCGAGUGGCGAACGGGUGAGUAACACGUGAGUAACCUGCCCUUGACUUUGGGAUAACUUCAGGAAACUGGGGCUAAUACCGGAUAGGAGCUCCUGCUGCAUGGUGGGGGUUGGAAAGUUUCGGCGGUUGGGGAUGGACUCGCGGCUUAUCAGCUUGUUGGUGGGGUAGUGGCUUACCAAGGCUUUGACGGGUAGCCGGCCUGAGAGGGUGACCGGCCACAUUGGGACUGAGAGACGGACCAGAGUCCUACGGGAGGCAGCAGUGGGGAAUAUUGCACAAUGGGCGGAAGCCUGAUGCAGAAACGCCGCGUGCGGGAUGACGGCCUUCGGGUUGUAAAACGCUUUCGCCUGUGACGAAGCGUGAGUGACGGUAAUGGGUAAAGAAGCACCGGCUAACUACGUG
rnacentral:rRNA from 1 species